CACGGGGGGAGCAAGCGUUGUUCGGAAUCACUGGGCGUAAAGGGCGUGUAGGCGGUCAAGUAAGUGGAAUGUGAAAGCCCCCGGCUUACCCGGGGAUCUGCAUCCCAAACUGCUUGGCUUGAGUAUGGGAGAGGAUGGAGGAAUUCCUGGUGUAGCGGUGAAACGCGUAGAUAUCAGGAGGAACACCGGUGGCGAAGGCGUCCAUCUGGCCCAAUACUGACGCUGAGGCGCGAAAGCUAGGGGAGCGAACGGG
rnacentral:rRNA from 1 species